rnacentral:rRNA from 1 species
GAUGAACGCUAGCUACAGGCUUAACACAUGCAAGUCGAGGGGUAACGAGAGGAAAGCUUGCUUUCCUUGUCGACGACCGGCGCACGGGUGAGUAACGCGUAUCCAACCUGCCCCCAACUAGGGAAUAACCUUGCGAAAGUAAGACUAAUACCCUAUAAUUUCCUCAGAUGCCAUCUGACGAGGAAUAAAGAUUUAUCGGUUGUGGAUGGGGAUGCGUCUGAUUAGCUUGUUGGCGGGGUAACGGCCCACCAAGGCAACGAUCAGUAGGGGUUCUGAGAGGAAGGUCCCCCACAUUGGAACUGAGACACGGUCCAAACUCCUACGGGAGGCAGCAGUGAGGAAUAUUGGUCAAUGGGCGGAAGCCUGAACCAGCCAAGUAGCGUGCAGGAUGACGGCCCUAUGGGGUUGUAAACUGCUUUUAUACAGGAAUAAAGUUAGCCACGUUGUGGUUAUUUGUAGGUACUGUAUGAAUAAGGCCGGCUAAUUCCGUGCCAGCAGCCGCGGUAAAACUGCGUG